rnacentral:rRNA from 1 species
GACGAACGCUGGCGGCGUGCCUAAUACAUGCAAGUCGAACGCAGUGGGGACGGGUGAGUAACACGUGGGUAAGCUCCCAUCAGAGGGGAUAACACUUGGAAACAGGUGCUAAACCGAUACUGAUGGAUGGACCCGAGGUGCAUUAGCUAGUUGGGGAGGUAACGGCUCACGAAGGACACGAUGCAUAGCCGGCCGGAGAGGGUGAUCGGCCACACUGGGACUGAGACACGGCCCAGACUCCUACGGGAGGCAGCAGUAGGGAAUCUUCGACAAUGGACGAAAGUCUGACCGAGCAACGCCGCGUGAGUGAAGAAGGUUUUCGGUUCGUAAAACUCUUUUGUUAGAGAAGCGUUAUCUAACCAGAAAGCAACGGCUAACUACGUGCCAGCAGCCGCGGUAAUUC